rnacentral:misc_RNA from 1 species
CGCACCUUGCGCCCAUUGGUAUUCCGAUGGGCAUGCCCGUUUGAGUGUCGCGAAACCUAUCAACCCUCGGUCUUUGUUGAUCGCAGGGUUGGAUUUGGGGGUAUCCUUUGCUGCCGAACAGGCGGCUCCCCUCGAAUGCGUCGGUUGGGAAAAUGAGCUUCGAAACCGGGCGUUGUAUACACCUCGCUCCAGUAGUAAGAGUUUGUUAGAAUUGCCCUUCCUCGACUUUGGCCUUUGGAGUGGCCGGUCACCAUUUGACUUCUGACCUCAAAUCGGGUAGGACUACCCGCUGAACUUAA